CUUUUGCAAUCUCCAUCUCCUUCCUAUUCUAUCCCAGAGUUUACACCACUUUGUGCAUCAUUUUAGGCAAAGUCAUUGCCUAAAGAGCAAUGAGCUCAGUUGAACUUUUCUGAGCUAAAGAGCCCAGUUGAGCUUUUCUAAGGCUGGAGGCACUGCAGCCCAGCAUGACUUCCUCUCUUUCCUGAACCAAACAAAAUAUUGUUACAGCAAACAUGAAAUCUCUCUUAUUUUUCACAAACGCUCUCCAGGCCUAACAAAGCUAGCAAGCAGUCACACUCCUUGAAUCAAAAUAAGCAUCUGCCUCUUCUCUCUUUAUCCCGCUUUCCCAGCAUUUUUGAGCAACAAUUAAGAAUGUGAGUAUUUUAUUAAUUCAUCUUAGGACUCCACUGAGUGUUUUCUGGAUAGCAUGCGAACGUAUUAAAACCUU
rnacentral:lncRNA from 1 species